rnacentral:tRNA from 1 species
AGCUCAGUUGGUAGAGCGCCGCCUUUGCAAGGCGGAUGUCAGGAGUUCGACCGUUAUCUCCA